rnacentral:lncRNA from 1 species
GUUGCCCCAUUCUAAAUCUAUGCGAUGAAACUUAAUCCCAGUAUACAUGAUCGUGAAAAAUCAGGGACGAAAUCAAAUCAAACAAUCAUAUUCGCUCAUCGGUUUAACCUAUUCACUUCAUUAUUUACGCUCAAAUUAUCUAUGCGAUGAAACUUAAUCCCAGUAUGCAUGAUCGUGAAAAAUCAGGGACGAAAUCGCAAGAAAUCACAUACAUAUCUUCUUCCUUUCUCUCUCACGAACACUUGAGAAUUUUUCUUCUGUCUUCUGUUGCUCCUAAUUUGAAUUGAUUUAUUGGUGCAGGUAUCUAAGUAAUUUGAAGAAGUUUGGUCCCGAUAGGAGAUAACAUCAAAUCGUCGUUGAAACAAACAGAUCGCAAGGUUACAGUUUUUCCUUCAUUAUCGCUACCUUAUCGCAGCUCUAUCUCCAUCUUUUUCAAAUUCCGAUUUCUUCUCCACGUUCCCUUAUUGCAGGAGGUAGGCGAUGGUUCGGUUAUAUUGUCGUCUUAUGAUUCUGGUCUCAUCAAUUGGUUUAACAUGUACGGAUGUUAACGAUGGUGGAUUCACUUUGAGAAUUUAUGGUUCACGAUUUCUUCUUAUUAAGGUUCUUAAUUCAUGGUAUUCAAUUUUAUUUUUUCUGUUUUAUGUUUCUGAUUUACAAGGUCUUUUUACAUUAAAGUUUGCUCCUUCGUUGUUUGAGUUCUUGGGCAAAAGUUAAGGACAAACUUUGAUUUAACCUAAUUUCUUUCCAAGAGACAUCUUCAUGAUAUUCUUAAAAUAAAUGAGAAUUUUUGUAUGGAAGCAUAACAAAAUCGGUUGUAUUCUCCUUUACCCUCCACUAAUUGCUGAUGAACUCAUUUAUCUAACACCUGAUACCUCCCCUUCUCAACACACCGAUGAACAAGGUAAUCUAUAUCAUCCUUUCAUAUUCUUUUUGAAAAAAAAAAACAAUUCUGAGCCCUUGUGUAUGUUAAUUUGUUUUUUUGAUAGAAUUCUUUGCUUAAAGAUGCAUUGGAUUCUCUUUGGUUUACUAAUUCAAAUUUUAUGUGAUUCUGUUCUUUGGCCAAUAGGUAACAUGUUUGUUGGUGAUUUAACUUUUAGUUCUUUUUGUACUACGGUUCAAGUGUAUAGGGUGAGACAAUUAUUCCUUUCAGUUGUGCAUUGGAACAGAAUCUUGUUGAUCUUCCAGAAGAUCAAGCAGCAAAAUACUGUGAGGAAAUUUCUUUAUUUUAGGUAUAAAUUCUCUGUUAAAACCCAAAGGACGUUUUUUUUUUUUUUUUUGUUUAGAAUUCCAUGGAUAAUGGACUUAUAUCCUGCCUUGCAAAAUGACUCAUUUGAUUGCUAAACACCCCAUCUUUCAGUUUUUUCAAAUAUGAAGGCAUACCUAUUUUGCUUGGUUUCAAUUUCAGCUUACACCAAAAACUUUCAAACAUGAUCUGUUUUGUUCAUUUUGUAUAAAAUUGUUUUCUAUAAUGUCAGUCAAUCUCUCAUCUUAAAUUAAGUCAAAUUAGGUUUAUUUUGAGUUGACUUUGAGCUUUUUUUAGUUGGUUUUUUACCUCAACACACGAGAUGAGAAGGCCCAUUGCCUUGGUGCUGUCAUAGUAUAGCCUCUGUAACAUAAGGAUGCUAACUAGGGAUGAUAAAAAUGGUGACAUUGUUUAGAAACCCGUUUCUCUAACUCCAUUUUGCUAAGACUCACACUCAUGUGUCAUUGAUUACUAACAAUUUAGAAUGGGUGAAUAGUAACUUUUGGGUGUUUCUUUUUGAAUUAAUAGAAAAAGGCUCAAACUUUAAAGUGGAAGGAUGGAGUGUGUAUGUAUUCAGACCCUAAACUAUGUUAGAAAGUAUAUAUACAGAGUAUAAGAGGUCAUCAGCCAGAUACAAACAGGGUAAUAAUUUGCGUGAUGCUGUGAAUUCAUAUAACUAAGAUUAAGUUACAUUUUGAGGCCUUCACGCAUAAAUCGAUUUGCAUUAACAUAUUUGAACAAACAGGGACGGAAAUUUUGACAUCAAUCUUAUUCCAUAAAAUAUAUUAGCUAAUUGCAGAAUAAAUGUUGAAAAGAACUGUUAUCAAUUUAACAAACAGUUCUCUUUUUUUCUCCAUUAAAUGUUAUCUAAAUCCUGGCGUUGGUUAGAAGAGAAUGAAGUUGUAUCUCUUGGAAAGCAUAUUGAACAAGGUAGGUUCUCUUAUACAUCAGUAGCCUACUUUUGCAGCAAAUUAACCCUUAAUCUAGGAUAAAUCUAAGAUUUUUUCAUCAUCUUGAAGGACAUCUUCAAUGAUUUUCAGUUAUCUCGUUAGGAAGCUUGUUGAUUGUUUGUGUUGGAAUAUUUUAUGAUGUUUUUUUGUUUUCUGAUUAUUUGUUUGGUUAUUGUCUUUAUAUUAUUCAACAGCUCAUAUGGCUAUUGCAAAUGGUGGAGAUUGGCAAAAGGAAUUCUAUCAAAAAGAUGGUGCAUAUGAAAGUAGAUUUGUGUAAGUUUCACCAUAUGUUAUGGUCCAAGAUUCUGUAGAUUUGCUUAAAUUUUUGUUGUAUUGCUAGCUAAGUUUUGUAGUCACAUCUUUGCAAGUAAAUGAUGAUAAAGUAAAGUCUGUACUUGAGCUGAUGGUGGCCGUGUUAUAGAAAGCAUGAAUUAUCAUAGUUAAGAUGAAUGUGUGAUGUCGAAGUAAUUUAGUAUGAUCAAAAUGAUUUAACUUAACGACUUAGAUGUUAAAGUUAUUAAAUCAACAUUUUCUCCAUACCAUGGUUUAGUCUAUACAAAAUUUGAUCAUAGUGGGAGUUCGUUAGCAGCAUAAGGUACUUGGAUUAUAUCGCAUACUACACCUGAAGGGUAUUUUGGUCAUUUUACACAAACAUUUUAACAUGUAUGAUUUGUUUAAUUGUUACACUCAACUACUUAGC